rnacentral:rRNA from 1 species
GGUGCACCAGGCGCGAAAACUUUACAAUGCCGGCAACGGCGAUAAGGGAACCUCGAGUGCCAGGUUACAAAUCUGGCUGUCGUGAUGCCUAAAAAGCAUUGCAUAGCAAGGGCCGGGCAAGACCGGUGCCAGCCGCCGCGGUAACACCGGCGGCUCGAGUGGUAACCGUUAUUAUUGGGUCUAAAGGGUCUGUAGCCGGCCGGGUAAGUCUCUUGGGAAAUCUGGCAGCUUAACUGUCAGGCUUUCAGGAGAUACUGCCUGGCUCGAGGCCGGGAGAGGUGAGAGGUACUUCAGGGGUAGGGGUGAGAUCUUGUAAUCCUUGAAGGACCACCAGUGGCGAAGGCGUCUCACCAGAACGGACCUGACGGCAAGGGACGAAAGCUAGGGGCACGAACCGGAUUAGAUACCCGGGUAGUCCUAGCCGUAAACGAUACUCGCUAGGUGUCGGCCACGGUGCGACCGUGGUCGGUGCCGUAGGGAAGCCGUGAAGCGAGCCACCUGGGAAGUACGGCCGCAAGGCUGAAACUUAAAGGAAUUGGCGGGGGAGCAC